rnacentral:rRNA from 1 species
AUGAACGCUGGCGGCGUGCCUAAUACAUGCAAGUCGAGCGAACAGACGAGGAGCUUGCUCCUCUGACGUUAGCGGCGGACGGGUGAGUAACACGUGGAUAACCUACCUAUAAGACUGGGAUAACUUCGGGAAACCGGAGCUAAUACCGGAUAAUAUAUUGAACCGCAUGGUUCAAUAGUGAAAGACGGUUUUGCUGUCACUUAUAGAUGGAUCCGCGCCGCAUUAGCUAGUUGGUAAGGUAACGGCUUACCAAGGCGACGAUGCGUAGCCGACCUGAGAGGGUGAUCGGCCACACUGGAACUGAGACACGGUCCAGACUCCUACGGGAGGCAGCAGUAGGGAAUCUUCCGCAAUGGGCGAAAGCCUGACGGAGCAACGCCGCGUGAGUGAUGGAGGUCUUCGGAUCGUAAAACUCUGUUAUUAGGGAAGAACAAAUGUGUAAGUAACUAUGCACGUCUUGACGGUACCUAAUCAGAAAGCCACGGCUAACUACGUG